rnacentral:rRNA from 1 species
AGCGAACGCUGGCGGCAGGCCUAACACAUGCAAGUCGAGCGCCCAGCAAUGGGAGCGGCAGACGGGAUAGUAACACGUGGGAACGUACCUUUCAGUUCGGAACAACCAAGGGAAACUUUGGCUAAUACCGGAUACGCCCGUAAGGGGAAAGAUUUAUCGCUGAAAGAUCGGCCCGCGUCUGAUUAGCUAGUUGGUGGGGUAAUGGCCCACCAAGGCGACGAUCAGUAGCUGGUCUGAGAGGAUGAUCAGCAUCACUGGGACUGAGACACGGCCCAGACUCCUACGGGAGGCAGCAGUGGGGAAUAUUGGACAAUGGGCGAAAGCCUGAUCCAGCCAUGCCGCGUGAGUGAUGAAGGCCUUAGGGUUGUAAAGCUCUUUCGUCAGGGAAGAUAAUGACGGUACCUGAAGAAGAAGCCCCGGCUAACUUCGUGCCAGCAGCCGCGGUAAAAC